AACGAACGCUGGCGGCAGGCCUAACACAUGCAAGUCGAGCGGACAUCUUCGGAUGUUAGCGGCGGACGGGUGAGUAACGCGUGGGAACGUGCCCUUUGCUUCGGAAUAGCCUCGGGAAACUGGGAGUAAUACCGGAUGUACCCUUUGGGGGAAAGAUUUAUCGGCAAAGGAUCGGCCCGCGUUGGAUUAGGUAGUUGGUGGGGUAAUGGCCUACCAAGCCGACGAUCCAUAGCUGGUUUGAGAGGAUGAUCAGCCACACUGGGACUGAGACACGGCCCAGACUCCUACGGGAGGCAGCAGUGGGGAAUCUUAGACAAUGGGGGAAACCCUGAUCUAGCCAUGCCGCGUGAGCGAUGAAGGCCUUAGGGUUGCAAAGCUCUUUCACCGGGGAAGAUAAUGACGGUACCCGGAGAAGAAGCCCCGGCUAACUCCGUG
rnacentral:rRNA from 1 species